GGGGAUUUAGCUCAGUGGUAGAGCACGUGCCUAGCAAGCGCAAGGCCCUGGGUUCGGUCCCCAGCUCCG
rfam:Rattus norvegicus chromosome 12, whole genome shotgun sequence.